CAGUCGAACGAACUCUGGUAUUGAUUGGUGCUUGCAUCAUGAUUUACAUUUGAGUGAGUGGCGAACUGGUGAGUAACACGUGGGAAACCUGCCCAGAAGCGGGGGAUAACACCUGGAAACAGAUGCUAAUACCGCAUAACAACUUGGACCGCAUGGUCCGAGCUUGAAAGAUGGCUUCGGCUAUCACUUUUGGAUGGUCCCGCGGCGUAUUAGCUAGAUGGUGGGGUAACGGCUCACCAUGGCAAUGAUACGUAGCCGACCUGAGAGGGUAAUCGGCCACAUUGGGACUGAGACACGGCCCAAACUCCUACGGGAGGCAGCAGUAGGGAAUCUUCCACAAUGGACGAAAGUCUGAUGGAGCAACGCCGCGUGAGUGAAGAAGGGUUUCGGCUCGUAAAACUCUGUUGUUAAAGAAGAACAUAUCUGAGAGUAACUGUUCAGGUAUUGACGGUAUUUAACCAGAAAGCCACGGCUAACUACGUGCCAGCAGCCGCGGUAAUACGUAGGUGGCAAGCGUUGUCCGGAUUUAUUGGGCGUAAAGCGAGCGCAGGCGGUUUUUUAAGUCUGAUGUGAAAGCCUUCGGCUCAACCGAAGAAGUGCAUCGGAAACUGGGAAACUUGAGUGCAGAAGAGGACAGUGGAACUCCAUGUGUAGCGGUGAAAUGCGUAGAUAUAUGGAAGAACACCAGUGGCGAAGGCGGCUGUCUGGUCUGUAACUGACGCUGAGGCUCGAAAGUAUGGGUAGCAAACAGGAUUAGAUACCCUGGUAGUCCAUACCGUAAACGAUGAAUGCUAAGUGUUGGAGGGUUUCCGCCCUUCAGUGCUGCAGCUAACGCAUUAAGCAUUCCGCCUGGGGAGUACGGCCGCAAGGCUGAAACUCAAAGGAAUUGACGGGGGCCCGCACAAGCGGUGGAGCAUGUGGUUUAAUUCGAAGCUACGCGAAGAACCUUACCAGGUCUUGACAUACUAUGCAAAUCUAAGAGAUUAGACGUUCCCUUCGGGGACAUGGAUACAGGUGGUGCAUGGUUGUCGUCAGCUCGUGUCGUGAGAUGUUGGGUUAAGUCCCGCAACGAGCGCAACCCUUAUUAUCAGUUGCCAGCAUUAAGUUGGGCACUCUGGUGAGACUGCCGGUGACAAACCGGAGGAAGGUGGGGAUGACGUCAAAUCAUCAUGCCCCUUAUGACCUGGGCUACACACGUGCUACAAUGGAUGGUACAACGAGUUGCGAACUCGCGAGAGUAAGCUAAUCUCUUAAAGCCAUUCUCAGUUCGGAUUGUAGGCUGCAACUCGCCUACAUGAAGUCGGAAUCGCUAGUAAUCGCGGAUCAGCAUGCCGCGGUGAAUACGUUCCCGGGCCUUGUACACACCGCCCGUCACACCAUGAGAGUUUGUAACACCCAAAGUCGGUGGGG
rnacentral:rRNA from 1 species